rnacentral:rRNA from 1 species
GAUGAACGCUGGCGGCGUGCCUAAUACAUGCAAGUCGAGCGAACAGAUGAGGAGCUUGCUCCUCUGACGUUAGCGGCGGACGGGUGAGUAACACGUGGAUAACCUACCUAUAAGACUGGGAUAACUUCGGGAAACCGGAGCUAAUACCGGAUAAUAUAUUGAACCUCAUGGUUCAAUAGUGAAAGACGGUUUUGCUGUCACUAAUAGAGGUUUCCGGGCCGCAUUAGCUAGUUGGUAAGGUAACGGCCUACCAAGGCAACGAUGCGUAGCUGACCUGAGAGGGUGAUCGGCCACACUGGAACUGAGACACGGUCCAGACUCCUACGGGAGGCAGCAGUAGGGAAUCUUCCGCAAAGGGCGAAAGCCUGACGGAGCAACGCCGCGUGAGUGAUGAAGGUCUUCGGAUCGUAAAACUCUGUUAUUAGGGAAGAACAAAUGUGUAAGUAACUAUGCACGUCUUGACGGUACCUAAUCAGAAAGCCACGGCUAACUACGUG